rfam:Medicago truncatula strain A17 chromosome 3, whole genome shotgun sequence.
AAACAGCCCGUUAUGUUUUGAUUCUUUGGCAGUUUUGGACCCCCAAGGUAAAAAAAAAUUGACACGUGGCACCUCACUUAGGGUGCCACGUCAGCGUUGACUGAGUCAACAAUGGACUCGGGGUCCAAAACUGUCAAAGAAUCAAAACAUAGGGGGCUGUUU